AUUGAACGCUGGCGGCAGGCCUAACACAUGCAAGUCGAGCGGAUGAAGGGAGCUUGCUCCUGGAUUCAGCGGCGGACGGGUGAGUAAUGCCUAGGAACCUGCCUUGUAGUGGGGUAUAACGUCCGGGAACGGGCGCUAAUACCGCAUACGUCCUGAGGGAGAAAGUGGGGGAUCUUCGGACCUCACUCUAUCAGAUGAUCCUAGGUCGGAUUAGCUAGUUGGUGGGGUAAAGGCCUACCAAGGCGACGAUCCGUAACUGGUCUGAGAGGAUGAUCAGUCACACUGGAACUGAGACACGGUCCAGACUCCUACGGGAGGCAGCAGUGGGGAAUAUUGGACAAUGGGCGAAAGCCUGAUCCAGCCAUGCCGCGUGUGUGAAGAAGGUCUUCGGAUUGUAAAGCACUUUAAGUUGGGAGGAAGGGCAGUAAGUUAAUACCUUGCUGUUUUGACGUUACCAACAGAAUAAGCACCGGCUAACUUCGUG
rnacentral:rRNA from 1 species